GAUCCGGGUUGCGGACAGUGUCUGGUGGGUAGUUUGACUGGGGCGGUCUCCUCCUAAAGAGUAACGGAGGAGCACGAAGGUUGGCUAAUCCUGGUCGGACAUCAGGAGGUUAGUGCAAUGGCAUAAGCCAGCUUGACUGCGAGCGUGACGGCGCGAGCAGGUGCGAAAGCAGGUCAUAGUGAUCCGGUGGUUCUGAAUGGAAGGGCCAUCGCUCAACGGAUAAAAGGUACUCCGGGGAUAACAGGCUGAUACCGCCCAAGAGUUCAUAUCGACGGCGGUGUUUGGCACCUCGAUGUCGGCUCAUCACAUCCUGGGGCUGAAGUAGGUCCCAAGGGUAUGGCUGUUCGCCAUUUAAAGUGGUACGCGAGCUGGGUUUAGAACGUCGUGAGACAGUUCGGUCCCUAUCUGCCGUGGGCGCUGGAGAACUGAGGGGGGCUGCUCCUAGUACGAGAGGACCGGAGUGGACGCAUCACUGGUGUUCGGGUUGUCAUGCCAAUGGCACUGCCCGGUAGCUAAAUGCGGAAGAGAUAAGUGCUGAAAGCAUCUAAGCACGAAACUUGCCCCGA
rnacentral:rRNA from 1 species